CCUGGCAGAGACCCUCCCUCACUUUUGAGUCCAUGUGCUGCUUUUUGAGCCUCCAAGGAGUUUCUCACCAAAAGUUUUCCUCCUCCACGCUGUUGCAGGGAACAUGAAAGGAAGGGGAAGCCAAGCCCAGCGCUGAGCAGGCAAUUCCCUACGGGAGCAAUGCUGGGACCAGCCUCUACGGGAGCGAUUCCACCAACGCCGUCCAGCUCCGCACUCUCCAACUUCGCAGGGCCGGUGAUCCCGCCAGCUCGGCACGGAGACACUGCGAAGGAGCCAGACUGCCUGUUUGACAGAUGCGGAGGAGUUGCUGUGCGAUAGCUAAUGAAACAUUUUAAAGAAAACUCACACGCCCUGUCCCCAAGAGGCUUGUUAUUUUCAGAAUGGAGUGGGCACUGGAAGGGACCUGCUCCCGAACCCCACAGCCUGCCGGGGGGAAGCAGGAAUUGCUCCUGGACGGAGACAGGAGCUCGCUGGUGAUGGGUCUCCUGCAGCGCUCGCUUUCUUGAGAAAAAUCACAGGAUGCAAAUUCUGCACCAACACAAGCAGCGAGGCAACGAGCCAGGGCGGCUUUUGGGCAUCUGCAGCCAAGAAGGGGCACAGCUAGAGCUGGGCUAGAGCUGGCAUUUCCCUCCCCACCCCCCUUUCUUUCUUCUUCCCUCUGUAAAGAAAUGGGAGCAAAAAGCAAAAUACACCAGAAAGACACCAGAGUGUUAAGAG